rnacentral:rRNA from 1 species
AGGAUUAACGCUGGCGGCGUGCCUGACACAUGCAAGUCGAACGAGGCCGCAAGGCCGAGUGGCGGACGGGUGAGUAACACGUGACCAACCAACCUCGAAGUUGGGAAUAGCUCUGCGAAAGUAGGGGUAAUACCGAAUGUGGCCCAGGGCGGGCAUCCGCCUUGGUCUAAAGAUUCAUCGCUUCGAGACGGGGUCGCGGCCUAUUAGCUUGUUGGUGAGGUAACGGCUCACCAAGGCGAUGAUGGGUAGCUGGUCUGAGAGGACGACCAGCCACACUGGGACUGAGACACGGCCCAGACUCCUACGGGAGGCAGCAGUGAGGAAUCUUCCGCAAUGGGCGAAAAGCCUGACGGAGCAAACGCCGCGUGUGGGAUGAAAGACUCUAGGGUUGUAAAACCACUGUCGGAGGGGACGAUCGUGACGGUACCCUCCAAAGAAAGCCCCGGCUAAACUACGCGCCAGCAGCCGC